AACACGACUCUAGGUUUUCAGUUGGCUUCUUACUUUACUUUUAAUUAUAUUCAUGCAAGAGAACGCUUGCUCGCACGAAUAUGCCGAUCAGACGAUAGUCAGCCUUCCAAAUGCUAACUUUUUGACUGUAGCAUUCUGGAAGACUAUUCCAUGCGUCGAAUAUAAGUGCCUGAUCUGGCGGCAUUUCUUUUAAAGUUGUCCUCUUUUGUGGCAUUACAUACAUUUCAAGACCUUCUACCAAAGCAUAGACUGGGGUAUCCCUUUCCUUGCAGUUUUAGAUUCAGCUCAUUUAAUUUCGUUGUUAUAUUCACCAAAAAGUAAAAGGCUUAAGCAACCAUUUGUUGUUCUGUAAUUCAGGGUGAAUAAUGCCUUUAUCAUUUAAAAAUUUUUUUUUGUUUUUUAACUCAUUCAAGCACAAAGCAAAACGUUUCAACACCUUACGUUUGGAAAGUCAUUGCACUUAAUUGUAAAGAAGGAGGUCAGAAUAUUGAGUCUCCAUUUUGUUAACAAUUCUUUAAACAGACGAUGGUAGAGUGCUUUUGACAAGAUGCUGUUAAAAUAUUGAUUACCAAAUUCAUGACCUCAACUAUUUCCGCCGGAAAUGUUUGGACACAGAGCUCUUCUUGGUGUAUUAUGCAGUGAAACCUGAGAAUUUUGUGGGUUAUUUUGCACCAAAGAAUUGUAGUUGCCCCUUUUUUUUUUUUUUGUCAUACUUCGGGCUCCAUCAGUUGCUAUUGAAACUAUAUUAUUUAUAUUUAUUAUAUUGUCUUCAAGGUAUUUUUGCACGACAUUAGCUAUACCUUCUCCUCUAGUUUGUCAUGAGAGCAUUAGCAAUCCUAGAAGUUCUUCUUUUGGAUCUUGGGAAGACAUAUCUGACAAAAAGGUCAACAUGUGCUGUUUUUAUCUCACAAGACUUUUAUCGAUAAUCAAUUGAUAAGGCAGAAGAAAGUUGAAUAUCUUCCACCUGCAAAUAUGUUACAUUUCAAAAUAUGGCAGAGGGGUGUGCUGAAAAUCAAGUAAUUAUAAGUAGCUGAGAGAUAGAAUUGAAUCAGAAUGAUUUUAAAAUGUUUAUUCGAUAAAAUAAAUAGUAUUUGCGCUAAAGAGCCGCCUCUUAACAUCCAAAGAGCCGCAUGUGGCUCGCAAUCCGCAGGUUGCCGACCCUGGUCUAGAUCUAGAUCUAGCUAGAGUCUUGAUCCUAGAAUCUUAGUUGACUAGAAAUAAGGAUGGCAACAGACAGGCCUGACAAGGUAUGAACAAGAUUUGUUACAAGAUAGUCCAGUGCACAUACUCAUACUGUGACAAGCACAAGAGCAAGACCAGGAGGCAGCUGGCAAUCUAGAUCUAGUGACUUAUUAUUUCUAGUCUAGAUCCAUGAUAAUGAAAAAAAGAAGUUCUAUCAUCUUAGAGUUGAAUUAGACCUAGGAAUAGAGAGAUGUGUAACAUUUCGGUCUAGUCUAAUGAAAGAAUUACAUCAGGAAUUCUAAAUUUGCAGAUAUGUGGAACAAAUUUAUCUCUGUAUUAAUUAAUGAAGUGUUAAAGGAUUACAGUCAGUAUGACAUACAGGAUACCUACUACCUGCUAUUAUUGUGCUCAAAAUAAACAAUCGGAUAUUUGCCAAUUCAGUGACAUGGAUAUAAAUCCUUCAUUUGGAUUAUUAUAACAAUGGCUUACAAAAAUAUAUCACCAUGUUAUGAUAGAACUUUGCUUGUAGGUUGUCAACUGUUAAUCUGAUCAUGGGCCGACGUAAGACCUUAAAGAGACCUCCCUAAUUACAUGGCAGCAAAAUGUCUUGUAAUUCUAAUUAGUGAAAGGGGCUCAGUUGUAGACAAGGAUAAGCAAAGCUGAAGUACAAUUUCAAACCAGCUGAGUUCCUGGAAAAUUACUGAAAGCCUUCCUAGCAGCAUCCAAAAUAAUAUGGGUUGGAUUUGUUCUUAAAGUUUUGCUGUAUUUAGCAUAUAUGUGUGUUGUAUUAGUAUUAUGUGAGUAUUUGAUGGAUUUUAAAAGAUGUGGUUAAAUAUGUGGAUGCUUUGUUCAAAGACUUUUCAAAGCCAAGUAAAACCAUUAGAAAGCUCCUCAGUGUGGAUCAAUGAAGAUUUGAUUAUACUGUACUAAUUUAUAUUGAAUUAAUUCUGAAAUGCAUAUAAAGAAUUAUAGUGACAAAAGAAUUUGAGUAAACUUUACACAGUUUUCACCAAAAUAAACAUUCUACCUUUCUUUUAUUUACAGCUGUUUAAGGUAUAAAAUAAAGGAAUUUAUCACUUUUUAUAAAACUUAAGCUCUUUAAUUU